rnacentral:rRNA from 1 species
GUCCACGCCGUAAACGAUGGAUGCUAGCCGUUGGGGAGCUUGCUCUUCAGUGGCGCAGCUAACGCUUUAAGCAUCCCGCCUGGGGAGUACGGUCGCAAGAUUAAAACUCAAAGGAAUUGACGGGGGCCCCGCACAAGCGGUGGAGCAUGUGGUUUAAUUCGAAGCAACGCGCAGAACCUUACCAGCUUUUGACAUGCCCGGUCUGAUCGCCAGAGAUGGCUUUCUUCCCGCAAGGGGCCGGUGCACAGGUGCUGCAUGGCUGUCGU